GAUCCUUGUAGAACCCAGCUGUGCGUCCCUGCAUCCCAGGUGUCCGGCACAGUUCCUGGGACAAGGCAGGGCGCACAGUGACCAGCUGACUAUGAGUUUCUCUGCCCCAGGAGGAGUCGGAAAAAAGGAGGGAGCUUUAUUUCCUUCACCCCAGCUCUCCAGCUGGAACAGCACCUCUGACAGCAAGAGCACCCACC